GUGAGGAAUAUUGCGCAAUGGAGGCAACUCUGACGCAGCCAUGCCGCGUGCAGGAAGAAGGCGCUACGCGUUGUAAACUGCUUUUAACCGGGAAGAAACCCCAGGACGUGUCCUGGGUUGACGGUACCAGAGGAAUAAGCACCGGCUAACUUCGUGCCAGCAGCCGCGGUAAUACGAAGGGUGCAAGCGUUAUCCGGAUUCAUUGGGUUUAAAGGGUGCGUAGGCGGAGCGUUAAGUCAGUGGUGAAAUCCUGCAGCUUAACUGUAGACUUGCCAUUGAUACUGGCGCUCUUGAGUGCGCUUGAAGUGGGCGGAAUGUGUCGUGUAGCGGUGAAAUGCUUAGAUAUGGCACAGAACACCAAUUGCGAAGGCAGCUCACUAAGGCGAUACUGACGCUGAGGCACGAAAGCGUGGGGAUCGAACAGGAUUAGAAACCCUGGUAGUCC
rnacentral:rRNA from 1 species